rnacentral:tRNA from 1 species
GCCGAAGUGGUGAAACUGGUAGACACACAGUGUUCAGGGCGCUGCGCCGAACAGGCAUGGGGGUUCGAAUCCCCCCUUCGGCA